AUCUUGCUGGAGAUCCCUGCCUACCUGAGGUCUGCUGAAGGCUGGAUUCUGAGCAGCACAUGAAAGCAAAAGGCACCAUGUCUCAGGACCACCUGGUUUCUUUGCCUAUCCCAGCCCAUUUUGGAAUGCCAGAACAAACACUCCUUAAACAAUCUUCCUGCUCUGGAUGGUGACUUCAAAGCCGGCGUCAGCACUCACUCCAGCAGCCAGGGCAGCCAUAGCCUGCACACAGGGGAGGGCACUGGGACCAUCCAUCCUGCAGCUCUGUUCCAGCUGUUGCUGAUCUCCAGGGGCCAGUAAAAUACUUUGCGGGUCUGCAAUGCACUUUAAAAAUUGCAGUGGGUCUCUUUCCUCAGUGGUAAAUGUGUUCAUGCAGGGAGGAGAAAACUCCUCAGACAGGAGGCUCUCCCUGGUUGCAGAGCACCCUCUGAACUCUCUUCUACUGCAGGAGCCACAUUUCUGGGACCUGAAUGCAAUGCUGGGAGCUCAGAGGAUAGUCCUGGAGCUCUUCUGGGGUUAGGUCUGCUUGGGGAUUUUUACACUUCAGAGGGAAUUUCUUUAUAGAUUUAAAGAAGAGCUCUGCCAGUGCGCCUCAGCUGGGACCCAUGGCACCAUCUUCCCACCCAUCCCCAGCCUGCAGGCAGCUCGCACAGCAUUCCCUGCUAUCUCAGCCUUCAGCUUCUGCCCAUCUUUUCAAGCAGAACUCCAUCCAGAGCUACAAUAACACCCAAUCUUCUGUAUCUGAAAGCAUACACAAGGCUGAUUCUAGAUUUGUGAUGUGCAAAGGUGAGGAAGGUGCCUCCUUCAGAUGCAAAUACUGUUCUCUAGCACCUGAAAGAACUGAUAUGAAUUUAAUGCACCCUUCCAGGUUCCCUCCGUCCUACUUUUGGAAUACUCCUGGAUUUGUUAUCUGAGUUGCCUGUGGAUCCAGAUCUGCUGUUUUUCAUUGAUAAUGUGUUGGUUCCUCUCUGGAGUGUUGUGUCUCUGCUAUCGGUGGGUGUUUUAUGUGGUUAUCAGAGUUAAAAGCACAGCUCAGGCAUGGCUAGUCAUCUGCUGCAUAGCUUACUGAUUUUGAAUAAGAAGUGAAGGAGCCUUACGUUUUUGUUAUUACUGCGUCCAUCGCUGUUUUCUCACAUCUAUCUAUAUAUAUGUGUAUAUGCUCACUGCUGAAGCUCAAAGGAUUUAACUGGAAACAAGUAUACAUCAUCUGGGAAUAGGACAAAGCACUUCAGAGAUCUGAGCUUCACUUCAGUCACUUUUGGACCUCUCCCCAACAAACGCUUCUGCUGAUAAGGACACAGCAUUGUUAGCUUUGGAUUUUGCACCCAAGGGAGAAGAAAUGAGCAUGGAACGGCUGCUGCAAAUCAUAAACCAUGGGUUUCCCAAAGGUCUACUGGCAGUUAGGCUUCCUCAGUGGUUUGAGAUGUUGCUGUCAGCUCCCAUUUGUGCAGUGGUUCAACAAAGGGUGGUUGCUUGUUCUGCUCUGGGAAAACAAGUGAGGAAAAGGAUCCAGCAGCAAUGGCGUGGCUGGAUCAUCCAUAGCUCACCCCACCUCAGCUCUGAACACCUCUCUCAGGCUGAAGGUCAUGGAUCUCAAAGUUCCUCACCCUGCAAAGUGCAAACUGGUUUCCAAUCACCGUGCCUGUGGCUAGGAGGAAAAUAGGAUGCCUGGAGAUGUCUAAAGUCUCACUCAUGAGUUAAAGCGAGUUUUGAAGUUCUGCCAAAAAAGAAGGAUUAGGAAGGGAUUCUUUUUAUCUGCUUUUGAUAUAUGGU
ensembl:lncRNA